UCAAAGAGGGGGACAACAAUUGGAAACGACUGGUAAUACCGCAUAAGCCCACGACCCGGCAUCGGGUAGAGGGAAAAGGAGCAAUCCGCUUUGAGAUGGCCUCGCGUCCGAUUAGCUAGUUGGUGAGGUAAUGGCCCACCAAGGCGACGAUCGGUAGCCGGACUGAGAGGUUGAACGGCCACAUUGGGACUGAGACACGGCCCAGACUCCUACGGGAGGCAGCAGUGGGGAAUAUUGCACAAUGGGGGAAACCCUGAUGCAGCGACGCCGCGUGGAGGAAGAAGGUCUUCGGAUUGUAAACUCCUGUUGUUGAGGAAGAUAAUGACGGUACUCAACAAGGAAGUGACGGCUAACUACGUGCCAGCAGCCGCGGUAAAACGUAGGUCACAAGCGUUGUCCGGAAUUACUGGGUGUAAAGGGAGCGCAGGCGGGAAGACAAGUUGGAAGUGAAAUCCAUGGGCUCAACCCAUGAACUGCUUUCAAAACUGUUUUUCUUGAGUAGUGCAGAGGUAGGCGGAAUUCCCGGUGUAGCGGUGGAAUGCGUAGAUAUCGGGAGGAACACCAGUGGCGAAGGCGGCCUACUGGGCACCAACUGACGCUGAGGCUCGAAAGUGUGGGUAGCAAACAGGAUUAGAUACCCUGGUAGUCCACACUGUAAACGAUGAUUACUAGGUGUUGGAGGAUUGACCCCUUCAGUGCCGCAGUUAACACAAUAAGUAAUCCACCUGGGGAGUA
rnacentral:rRNA from 1 species